CUUUCAACACAAAAUGGCCGCCUGCUCUGUCGUCCUCCAACCAGAGGAAAGGUUAAUGUCGAUCGGACCAGUUUCAGCAGUAGGAGUAGGAGCUCUCUAUGUCCUCUGUGUCUUCUACAACUGCCUGUCCUCUGUGUCUUCUACAACUCUGCCUGUCCUCUGUGUCUUCUACAACUCUGUCUGUCCUCUGUGUCUCUUCUAUAAUUCUGUUUGACAGACAGGUGGACUCUGUUACAGUCAUAGAGAGACAGACAGGUGGACUCUGUUACAGUCAUAGAGACAGACAGGUGGACUCUGUUACAGUCAUAGAGACAGACAGGUGGACUCUGUUACAGUCAUAGAGACAGACAGGUGGACUCUGUUACAGUCAUAGAGAGACAGACAGGUGGACUAUGUUACAGUCAUAGAGAGACAGACAGGUUGACUCUGUUAGUCAUAGAGAGACAGACAGGUGGACUAGUAAGUCAUGAGGUCACUGAGACAGAGGAAGGGAAUAGUAAGUCAUGAGGUCACUGAGACAGAGGAAGGGAAUAGUAAGUCAUGAGGUCAGUGAGACAGAGGAGGGGAAUAGUAAGUCAUGAGGUCACUGAGACAGAGGAAGGGAAUA
rnacentral:lncRNA from 13 species